GCGGCAUGUGGAAACAUGAUCUGAAACCUGCCAGUCAUGCACACACAUGAGGCACGUAACGCUUCUGUGAAAGAGCUGCAUUAGAAGAGAGACUACAAAUCCUGUCACAGGAACAGACAUACAAGGGAGGAGCAAGCUUUCACAGGCAGAGAUAGUUGUAAAUACGUGUUUUGCUGAAAUACUGCUGCUGCUUUUAUGAGAUGAAUAAUUAAUAUUACAAACGUUGAGUUCUGAGUGGCAAUUUGCAGCUUCUUUGGAUGGAGAUAUGGAGCUGCUGGAAAUGUAAACAUCUCAUCUAGCAAUUUCUUCAGCAGUGUGUUGUGCCUUUUAUUGUUUGAAUCUGCCUGGGAGUGGCUUUAAGAUCCAGUAACCUGAUCUUCUAUCACUCUCGGAGGCUUCCUUUUCUGGUAUGCCCCGAUGCAUUCAACACAUGUUGGUAUUGUGCACGACCGGCAAUCAGAGCGAUUCGAGCUCACUUUCUCUGUCUGCAAGAAAUGGCAAAUCAUUUGCUGGUGAAUGCUUCUGACUUGUCAGCCGUCUGCAGCUAAUUUCUGCCUGGCUCAUCAACCCCAUUUCAGAGACUGGAAGCGCUGUGGAUGACCAAGCUAGGAAGUGUUGUCAUGAUCCUAUCUCAGGAGUGAAGACUAGCUAAGAAUGAGAAUGCUUUCUCUUUUCUUUAGAGGAAUCGCAGACUGUUUGAUGUGAGAACACCCAGUUUCUCGCUGAGGAAAAGAGCAAGGCUGUGAACGAUUCAAGUCAGUGCAGGAGGAGCAGAGACUGGCUUUAAACAGCAGUUAUUCUGUUACUUGUCUGAGAAACGUCAGCAGAUGGACUUUGGUUUCAGGGCUGUGAAUAUUUGCAGUGGCUUUGCAUGUUGGAAUACAAGCAGUGAUCUCUUUUACUCCCUUUCCCCUGUACAUUACCUGCUGAAAAAUGAGUGAGGAAGCAAAGGAGAAAAACGCUAAACCAGCUCACAGGAAAAAGAAAGGAAAAAAGAUUCUCAAUCUCACAUUUUCAGCAAAUAUAUUAAAGAAAAAAGAGCAAAAAACUCCCAGAACUUCAGGAAAAGUACUUGUCAUUUGUACGUCCAAGUAAGGAAGCCCAAGAGUAGUAGAACGAAUGAUGUUCAAUAAUUAUGAUGAUGAACUGCUUGAAAAAAACCCUAAAUAAA